UACGGAGGGAGCUAGCGUUGUUCGGAAUUACUGGGCGUAAAGCGCGCGUAGGCGGCUUUGUAAGUUAGAGGUGAAAGCCCGGGGCUCAACCCCGGAAUUGCCUUUAAGACUGCAUCGCUUGAAUCCGGGAGAGGUGAGUGGAAUUCCGAGUGUAGAGGUGAAAUUCGUAGAUAUUCGGAAGAACACCAGUGGCGAAGGCGGCUGCACUGGCCCGGUACUGACGCGUGAGGUGACGAAAGCGUGGGGAGCAAACAGG
rnacentral:rRNA from 1 species